GUUUCUUAGAUGAGGUAGGAAAUGAGUGGGAUGUUACUGGAAAAGAAAAAGAGUCCAAGAAGUUAUUCCAGAGCAAGAACAGGUUCCUGUCUGGCAGCUCUAUUUGAUUGUAUAUUUGUGGCUUGGGAUGGAAACAGGGAGCAAACCAGAAGAGCUGGGAGACGACUGGAAAAUGCAAACAUACAGCUUCAUGACUGCAACUAUUUAAUGAAUGAAAGAGAUAAAGUAGCCGGAAAAUCCCAGGUCUUGGACCAGGAAAUGUGAAAUGAACCAGCAAAGAUGCUUCAGCAGGCCUGAAGAGACUGGGAACACCAGAUGAAAGAGAACAGGUACCUGUAAAGAGCAGUGAUACAGUCAGAGGAAACAAUAAAAAUGAGGUCUUGCUCUGUUGCCCAGACUGGAGUGCAGCAGCAUGAUUAUGAUUUACUGCAGCCUUGAAAUCCCAGGCUCACGGGAUCCUCCCAUCUCAGCCUCUCGGUAACUGGAACUACAGACUAGAAGCUCUGUAAGAGCAAGGAUGUUGGGUAUUUUUGCUCACGUUUCCCAGUGCUUUAACAGAAUGCCUGGCAUGAGUAAGUCCUCCAUAAACAUCUGUGGAAUAAAUCAGUAGUAGAGAUUAAGAAAUGGCCUCAAAGAAGGACACAGACAAACAUGGUCCUGGUUCUAGAGGAAGCUAAAUGUGUUCACUUUUCCUGUGAGCUUUACACAGGAGUUUCUGCAACAUAAAAGAGAUCACAAGGCCAGUACCGAUGAAGCCCUUGAUCCUGUGCUUGUUACCUGGGAAAGACUGACAGUAAUACCUUAAAAAUCAUUGUCUCUGUGACUUAGGAGAAACAGGACAAAUUAUCCUAGCAUGAAAUAUAGCCCAAGAAUAUUGUGGGAAUAACGCAGAUUGAUUUUUUUUCUCUUUUCUGAAUUCACAUCUGUAUCCCUCUUUCAGAUAUUUAUUGACUGCUCAGUUCAGUCCCUUUUCAUAUAGAGAAUGAGGGUAUAUUUCAUUUGUUCAAAACUACAAAAAUAAUCAUACCUCUUAUCUUUCAAAUAAAAAUCAACUUUGCUCUCAACAUGUUUGAUGUCUGGAACAUAUCAAUUAAUAUCUUCACUUCAGAGAUUCAUUACAUAAAAUGUUGGAAUCUAUGCUAUAGCAUUACCAUAAAGAGUUGGAUUAAAUAGGAAAAUGAACAGAUACACCAAAAGGAAAGUGGGCAAGACAUAAACGUCAGAGGUGUUUGAACUGGAGCAACUGCAUCUUCAACAGGAGCCGGGUAAAAUAAGGCUGAGACCUUCUGGGCUGCAUUCCCAGACUUAGAAUUCCUAAAACAUUCUAAGUCACAGGGUGAGAGAGG
rnacentral:lncRNA from 1 species